GCCGAGCCAAGUAGCGAUGGCUUGUCACCCGAGCGGGGGCAAUAAGGUGGUGCGGAUGCCUGGUCGUUUGCGCUUGGGCCUGGGCCUGUGGUUUGCAUUAUGUGGCUCGCCCGUUCCAAGUUGAGUAGCGUGUAUGGGUCGCCUUAGCGAAAGCUAGAGCGUCCCUGCACCUAGAGUGGCGGGUAUUGCGUGAGGCUGGUUUCACAGAGCAGCGAGUACCGCCCGCUUCCAACGGUGGAAGGAUAACGGGCCGCUGCAGCCCUGGCCCGCUUCCGGCCGAAGUGCCUUCCAUGGCAGACCACCAUCUUU
rnacentral:SRP_RNA from 1 species